rnacentral:lncRNA from 1 species
CGAGAGUGUAAAUUUGGAACGAAUCGAUGUCAACGUUCACAAGAACUAAAACCGGAACAAUAUUAGACUACUCAAUUGCGCCAUAACAGUAUAACCUUGCGACGAGUACUUUUUCUCAUUAAAUCGAAUAAAGAGUAAAACCUAAUUAUAAUGUUCUCUUAUGCCCCGAGAGUGUAAAUUUGGAGCGAAUCGAUGUCAAUAUUCACAAGAACCAAAAUCGGAACAACAUUAGACUACUCAGUUGCGCCAUAACAGUAUAACCUUGCAACGAGAACUUUUUCUCAUUCUAACG